rnacentral:hammerhead_ribozyme from 1 species
AUCCAGUUGAAGAGUCCCAAAUAGGACGAAAUGCGCAUCCUGGAU